AAUGAUUGACCAAAACGCCUCAAUUCCACCAAUUCUGAAUACUAGAAACCAACAUGCUGAUUAAUAACUACUCCAAAUCGAUACUAAUGAAUCAACUAAGAAUUAACUUGAAUCUCCAAAAAGAACCCAUUAACCCACACUAAAACUUACCCGAUUCAAAAUCCAAUGAGACAAAAAUGCAUGGACAACCAACCCUUGACCAACGAACAAUAAC
rnacentral:lncRNA from 1 species